rnacentral:lncRNA from 1 species
CACCAUUGAGCUGCGAAGUAGAGUCCAACUGUCUUACAGAUAAAGGAAUCAACUAGCACCUGCAAAUGAAAUAACAAGAAUAGAGUAACAGACUCGUUAAAUAAAUGAAUAUAAAUUAAAAAAUACUUCAUUUUAGAAUACCAUAUGCUUCAUGAUUAAAAAAAAUUGGUUUGGGUUUCUGUUGAGUAUCAUUUUCUCUCUUUCUUUUUCUUAGAGUCCAUUCUUCAUGUUUAUAAGUUGCAGUUUCUGAUGCGAUGUGCUAGAGACAACUAAGUGUUAAGCAUGGUGACACAUUACCCCCUAGAGGUGACACGUGUGUCCUGAGUGAUACUUCCUGAAAAACUAAGUUGGUGAGCUGAAUGCAGGAGAAUAGGGAGAGGGCAAGCUAUACAGUGGCAAGUUGAGUGGUGAGCUAAGACGGAUGUGGCAAGCAGAGCUGGGUUGUGAGCUGAAUAGGCCGUGGCUAAUUAGGCGAUCCCUUAAGAGAGGAGGUGUAAAGUGAAGAGGGUCAGGUCAGACAUGGAUCUCCAGUUGAAUAGUGGCGUGCCCUGUAACAAUUUGUCCCCCACCUUAUUGAAGAAGAAUUAUAAAAUGACUAUUCUGAGACAAGGCUUACACGAAUGAAGCAUGUGAUUGAGGCUUACUAACGUAGGUUUUGGUGUAAAAAUUGUUGCGUACGUUUUUCCGUACGAUAAUGAGGUACAGUUGUAAAAAGAUGAUUGGGGCUUAUUUCUUAAGGAAAUGAACCGUUCUGGAAAAAAUUUCUUCCUUAAAUAACUUCUACUUAGCCUCUCUUACACUUAUCUUUCAAAUGAGCAGCCAGCGAGAAGGAACUCGUUGUUUAUAGGUAAAAGCCCUCGAAUUUUCUACUGUUGUUUCGAUUGUUUUAAGUGUGAUUGUUUAUCAUGGUUAGAGUCAAAAUAGGUUUGGGUGGAAGGAGCGGUGGCCAUACUGGUCGUGGUAACCAGGCUCAUAGGUCUGGAUUUGUGGAUGAGGAUGGUAACUGUCAGGAGCGUCGUGAGGCCUGCGUACCUGUGGAAGCAAACGCCUACUUGUGCUCGACAAAGCAGGAUGAGAUGGUUUGUCAUCUCGCCGUUCGGGGUAUUUAGUUGCUAAACUUCGCCUUUGAUUUUUCGAUUGUCCAGGGCACAAGGAGAUUGAGUGACACGGAGGGAGGUUUCCUCUUGUCCUUGCACGUAUUGGAGGCAGAAUUCCACCUUCCUCCUCACCUUUUCUUUUGUAUUGUUCUUCAAGAGUAUAGGAUCACCCCGGGACAACUGGUUGGUUUCUCGUAGUUGAUUCUGGUUGCCUACUUUGUUGAUUGCUGCCUUCGGG